rnacentral:rRNA from 1 species
AAUGAACGCUGGCGGCGUGGUUAAGACAUGCAAGUCGAACGGUUUUUAUUGAAGCGCAAGUGGAUAUAAAAGCAGUGGCGAACGGGUGCGUAACACGUGAACAAUCUACCUUCAAAUGGGGAAUAGCUCGCCGAAAGGCGAAUUAAUACCGCAUGUGGUUGCUUCUCGCAUGAGAGGCAUACCAAAGUCAGGGACCGCAAGGCCUGACGUUAGAAGAGGAGUUCGCGGCCUAUCAGCUAGUUGGCGAGGUAACGGCUCACCAAGGCUAAGACGGGUAGCUGGUCUGAGAGGAUGAUCAGCCACACUGGCACUGCGACACGGGCCAGACUCCUACGGGAGGCAGCAGUAAGGAAUAUUGCGCAAUGGGCGAAAGCCUGACGCAGCGACGCCGCGUGGGGGAUGAAGGUCUUCGGAUUGUAAACCCCUUUCGGGAGGGAAGAUGGAGCGAGCAAUCGUUCGGACGGUACCUCCAGAAGCAGCCACGGCCAACUUCG